rnacentral:rRNA from 1 species
AGAGUUUGAUCAUGGCUCAGAUUGAACGCUGGCGGCAGGCCUAACACAUGCAAGUCGAACGGUAACAGGAAGCAGCUUGCUGCUUCGCUGACGAGUGGCGGACGGGUGAGUAAUGUCUGGGAAACUGCCUGAUGGAGGGGGAUAACUACUGGAAACGGUAGCUAAUACCGCAUAAUGUCGCAAGACCAAAGAGGGGGACCUUCGGGCCUCUUACCAUCGGAUGUGCCCAGAUGGGAUUAGCUUGUUGGUGGGGUAACGGCUCACCAAGGCGACGAUCCCUAGCUGGUCUGAGAGGAUGACCAGCCACACUGGAACUGAGACACGGUCCAGACUCCUACGGGAGGCAGCAGUGGGGAAUAUUGCACAAUGGGCGCAAGCCUGAUGCAGCCAUGCCGCGUGUAUGAAGAAGGCCUUCGGGUUGUAAAGUACUUUCAGCGGGGAGGAAGGGAGUAAAGUUAAUACCUUUGCUCAUUGACGUUAUCCGCAGAAGAAGCACCGGCUAACUCCGUGCCAGCAGCCGCGGUAAUACGGAGGGUGCAAGCGUUAAUCGGAAUUACUGGGCGUAAAGCGCACGCAGGCGGUUUGUUAAGUCAGAUGUGAAAUCCCCGGGCUCAACCUGGGAACUGCAUCUGAUACUGGCAAGCUUGAGUCUCGUAGAGGGGGGUAGAAUUCCAGGUGUAGCGGUGAAAUGCGUAGAGAUCUGGAGGAAUACCGGUGGCGAAGGCGGCCCCCUGGACGAAGACUGACGCUCAGGUGCGAAAGCGUGGGGAGCAAACAGGAUUAGAUACCCUGGUAGUCCACGCCGUAAACGAUGUCGACUUGGAGGUUGUGCCCUUGAGGCGUGGCUUCCGGAGCUAACGCGUUAAGUCGACCGCCUGGGGAGUACGGCCGCAAGGUUAAAACUCAAAUGAAUUGACGGGGGCCCGCACAAGCGGUGGAGCAUGUGGUUUAAUUCGAUGCAACGCGAAGAACCUUACCUGGUCUUGACAUCCACGGAAGUUUUCAGAGAUGAGAAUGUGCCUUCGGGAACCGUGAGACAGGUGCUGCAUGGCUGUCGUCAGCUCGUGUUGUGAAAUGUUGGGUUAAGUCCCGCAACGAGCGCAACCCUUAUCCUUUGUUGCCAGCGGUCCGGCCGGGAACUCAAAGGAGACUGCCAGUGAUAAACUGGAGGAAGGUGGGGAUGACGUCAAGUCAUCAUGGCCCUUACGACCAGGGCUACACACGUGCUACAAUGGCGCAUACAAAGAGAAGCGACCUCGCGAGAGCAAGCGGACCUCAUAAAGUGCGUCGUAGUCCGGAUUGGAGUCUGCAACUCGACUCCAUGAAGUCGGAAUCGCUAGUAAUCGUGGAUCAGAAUGCCACGGUGAAUACGUUCCCGGGCCUUGUACACACCGCCCGUCACACCAUGGGAGUGGGUUGCAAAAGAAGUAGGUAGCUUAACCUUUGGGAGGGCGCUUACCACUUUGUGAUUCAUGACUGGGGUGAAGUCGUAACAAGGUAACCGUAGGGGAACCUGCGGUUGGAUCACCU